rnacentral:lncRNA from 1 species
GCGGCUGCGAGACCGGCCCUUACGGACUCGCUCUCGUUUUGCCUCGCGCAACUCACGGCAGCGGCCGGGGAGGGGCCAGGUGGGGGAAAGGACCCAGCUACCAACGAGACAGCCCUGGGCCGCGUGCUCUUAGCUCUUCGCACGCGCCACAUCAAGGCAGCAGAGGGAAUUGAGCGCUUCCGGGCACGCGGCGGGCUCCGCCCCCUUGUCGCCCUGCUACGCCGAACGGCUGCUGCGGGCCCCGCCCCGUCCCAAGCAGCCUCUGGCUCCGCCCCUCCGUCGGUUGCGUCAGCUGGUUCUUCCCCUGGCCCCGCCCCCGCUGCUGAGUCGCCUUUGACUCUUUCGGCGCCAAUGCGCCUGCGCAAGACGCUGGAUUUGGCGCUCAGCAUUCUAGCCAACUGCUGUACAGAAGGGGCGUGCCGGUCUGAAGUGCGUAGAAUUGGAGGCAUUCUCCCUUUGGGCAUUUGAGGGGCUUUGUGAAAUCUUAGAACAGACACUAUUCCCCGGGGGCAUUUGGAAAAGCUGCUUCACGCCUGAGAUACUCUAGCCUUUCUACUUACCAUCCCUCUGUGACCAUUCUUCAGUGUGUGAGGAUAGACAGCAUCCAGAACCGAACAGCCCGUGCUCUGGGGAACUUAGCCAUGGAGCCUGAGAGCUGCGGGGACAUCCACUCUGCUGGGGCUGUUCCCUUUCUUGUUGAGAGCCUUACUGCCUGCCAGGACUCACAGUGCCUACAGAGCAUAGUUCGUGCCCUCCGCAACUUGGCAGACUCACCCCAGCACCGCCUAGCCCUGGCACAGCAAGGAGCAGUGCGGCCACUGGCCGAGCUCCUGGCUACUGCCCCAGACCCUGCACUGACCUCAGCCCUAGUCCGUGCUCUCUUGGAACUCAGCCGAGGCUGUUCCCGAGCCUGUGCUGAGCAGCUAAGUCUGGGUGGGGGACUGGGCCCACUUGUCAGCCUGGCUUCUCACCCUAAGCGGGCAAUACGUGAGGCAGCCAUUCUGAUCCUUGCCAAUCUGUGUGCUCAGGGCCUGGUGCGACCUGCACUGGGCAAUGCUGGUGGUGUGGAGGUGUUACUAGGCAGCUAUGUGGUGAAGCUGGCGAAGAGGAAGAAGAAGGAGUAGAAGCUGCUUCCUGGGACUUCCCCGAGGAACGGACCUCUGGGCAGCCGGAGGGAGGAAGCUUCCGAAGCCUCAGGUUGUGGCUGAUUUCUGAGGGUUAUGCAGCAGGCCCUGGAGAUAUCUCCCCAGAUUGGUCUCCUGAGCGUUGUCCGAUGCCAGAGCCAUCUGAGUCAGUCAGUCCUACCCCUGGCCAGACCUCAAUGUCGACACCCCGCACACUUCGCAAACUGGGCCGUGUCCCUGCUGCCACUACUGAGGAGCCUUGGGGCCAAGAGGGGCCAGCACUGUUGCUGUUGUCACGCUUCUCCCAGGCUCCUGACCCAAGUGGAGCUCUAGUGACUGGUCCAGCACUGUGUGGCCUGUUGGCCUAUGUGACAGGUGCACCGGGACCACCAAACCCACGUGCACUGCGUAUCUUGGCACGCCUCACCUGUAACCCUGCGUGCCUUGAGGCCUUUGUGCGCAGUUAUGGUGCAGCACUGCUGCGUGCCUGGCUGGUCCUCGGUGUCUCACCAGAUGACUGGCCUGUGCCACAUGCCCGGCCUGUACACCGAAGCCAGCACCGAGAGCUGGGUAUGUUUCCCCUAUCCCCACCCACGCGAAAGGCCCAUUUCCUCACAUUCCUUUUGUGGACCUAGAACCUCUACUUCCUCCUCACUUGCCUGCUGUCUCCAGCCUACCCUCUAGGCUGCUCAGUCCCCGGGGCAUUGGUGGUUUGAGGACCCUGGAAGGCAGGGAACAUUCCCUUCUGAUCCAUAGCCCCGGAGUAAAGAGAGUUCUGUUCUGUCCUUUCCCCAAACCUGGGGGCCCAGGUAACCUGGUACCAGGUUUGGCUCCUUGUACCCCAGAAUCUGACCUUUCUGUAUUUCUUCACCCACUCUACUCUUGGCUCUGUGCUGUCCUGGGCACUCACCUAUGUCCUCUCCGGCUCUACUACCUU